GAUGAACGCUGGCGGCGUGCCUAAUACAUGCAAGUCGAGCGAACAGACGAGGAGCUUGCUCCUCUGACGUUAGCGGCGGACGGGUGAGUAACACGUGGAUAACCUACCUAUAAGACUGGGAUAACUUCGGGAAACCGGAGCUAAUACCGGAUAAUAUAUUGAACCGCAUGGUUCAAUAGUGAAAGACGGUUUUGCUGUCACUUAUAGAUGGAUCCGCGCCGCAUUAGCUAGUUGGUAAGGUAACGGCUUACCAAGGCAACGAUGCGUAGUCGACCUGAGAGGGUGAUCGGCCACACUGGAACUGAGACACGGUCCAGACUCCUACGGGAGGCAGCAGUAGGGAAUCUUCCGCGAUGGGCGAAAGCCUGACGGAGCAACGCCGCGUGAGUGAUGAAGGUCUUCGGAUCGUAAAACUCUGUUAUUAGGGAAGAACAAAUGUGUAAGUAACUAUGCACGUCUUGACGGUACCUAAUCAGAAAGCCACGGCUAACUACGUG
rnacentral:rRNA from 1 species